rnacentral:rRNA from 1 species
AGCCCCGUACACAAAAAUGCACAUGCUGUGAGCUCGAUGAGUAGGGCGGGACACGUGGUAUCCUGUCUGAAUAUGGGGGGACCAUCCUCCAAGGCUAAAUACUCCUGACUGACCGAUAGUGAACCAGUACCGUGAGGGAAAGGCGAAAAGAACCCCGGCGAGGGGAGUGAAAAAGAACCUGAAACCGUGUACGUACAAGCAGUGGGAGCACAGAGCAAUCUGUGUGACUGCGUACCUUUUGUAUAAUGGGUCAGCGACUUAUAUUCUGUAGCAAGGUUAACCGAAUAGGGGAGCCGAAGGGAAACCGAGUCUUAACUGGGCGUUAAGUUGCAGGGUAUAGACCCGAAACCCGGUGAUCUAGCCAUGGGCAGGUUGAAGGUUGGGUAACACUAACUGGAGGACCGAACCGACUAAUGUUGAAAAAUUAGCGGAUGACUUGUGGCUGGGGGUGAAAGGCCAAUCAAACCGGGAGAUAGCUGGUUCUCCCCGAAAGCUAUUUAGGUAGCGCCUCGUGAAUUCAUCUCCGGGGGUAGAGCACUGUUUCGGCAAGGGGGUCAUCCCGACUUACCAACCCGAUGCAAACUGCGAAUACCGGAGAAUGUUAUCACGGGAGACACACGGCGGGUGCUAACGUCCGUCGUGAAGAGGGAAACAACCCAGACCGCCAGCUAAGGUCCCAAAGUCAUGGUUAAGUGGGAAACGAUGUGGGAAGGCCCAGACAGCCAGGAUGUUGGCUUAGAAGCAGCCAUCAUUUAAAGAAAGCGUAAUAGCUCACUGGUCGAGUCGGCCUGCGCGGAAGAUGUAACGGGGCUAAACCAUGCACCGAAGCUGCGGCAGCGACGCUUAUGCGUUGUUGGGUAGGGGAGCGUUCUGUAAGCCUGCGAAGGUGUGCUGUGAGG